rnacentral:rRNA from 1 species
UGGGGAAUCUUCCGCAAUGGACGAAAGUCUGACGGAGCAACGCCGCGUGUAUGAUGAAGGUCUUCGGAUUGUAAAGUACUGUCAUUGGGGAAGAACGGUUUUCUUGAAAAGAUUGAGAAGACAUGACGGUACCCAAGGAGGAAGCCCCGGCUAACUACGUGCCAGCAGCCGCGGUAAUACGUAGGGGGCAAGCGUUGUCCGGAAUUAUUGGGCGUAAAGGGCGCGUAGGCGGGCCUUUAAGUCCGGUGUGAAAGAUCAGGGCUCAACCCUGAGAGUGCAUCGGAAACUGGAGGCCUUGAGGACAGGAGAGGAAAGUGGAAUUCCACGUGUAGCGGUGAAAUGCGUAGAUAUGUGGAGGAACACCAGUGGCGAAGGCGACUUUCUGGACUGUAACUGACGCUGAGGCGCGAAAGCGUGGGGAGCAAACAGGAUUAGGAUACCCUGGUAGUCCACGCCGUAAACGAUGAGUGCUAGGUGUAGAGGGUAUCGACCCCUUCUGUGCCGCAGUUAACACAAUAAGCACUCCGCCUGGGGAGUACGGCCGCAAGGUUGAAACUCAAAUGAAUUGACGGGGUCAUAGCUGUUUCCU